GACCGUCCCUGUGCAGGGGACGUUCUGUCACUGCCCCCAGCCCGGCUGCCGCGUGUCGCUGGGGCACCGGCCGCGUCCGUGCGCGCCUCAGCCCUGGCGCUGGGAAUUGCACAGCGGGACGUGGCGUUGUGCUCCCCAGGCAAAGCUCCAUGUCCCGCCCCGUGCCAGCAGCGCGGUGGUGCUCGAAACAGAGCCCAGGGCAGGCACCUGGGCUCCGCUGCCGUGUCUGCCCUGGGGGUGAAAUGCAGCAGCGGGAAGGAAGGUGGUUCUGAUACAUGUAACAGUCACGGACCAGCCUGAGGUUUUCAGGAACCUUAUGCUAAUAAAAUAAGAACAGAAAAAUGACAUUAAGGAAAGUGAACAUUUCCAUCCUUAUAGUGGCUGUUGUCAUAUUUUUGCUAGUUAUUCAUCAUAACUUCCUAAGCCUUAGUGACUUCUUGAGACGGGAAUUGUCAGGUAUGUUGGAUUUUAUUUUA